GAUGAACGCUGGCGGCGUGCCUAAUACAUGCAAGGCGAACGAAACUUCUUUAUCACCGAGUGCUUGCACUCACCGAUAAAGAGUUGAGUGGCGAACGGGUGAGUAACACGUGGGCAACCUGCCCAAAAGAGGGGGAUAACACUUGGAAACAGGUGCUAAUACCGCAUAACCAUAGUUACCGCAUGGUAACUAUGUAAAAGGUGGCUAUACUACCGCUUUUGGAUGGGCCCGCGGCGCAUUAGCUAGUUGGUAGGGUAAAGGCUUACCAAGGCAAUGAUGCGUAGCCGAAUUGAGAGGUUGAUCGGCCACAUUGGGACUGAGACACGGCCCAAACUCCUACGGGAGGCAGCAGUAGGGAAUCUUCCACAAUGGGCGAAAGCCUGAUGGAGCAACGCCGCGUGGGUGAAGAAGGUCUUCGGAUCGUAAAACCCUGUUGUUAGAGAAGAAAGUGCGUGAGAGUAACUGUUCACGUUUCGACGGUAUCUAACCAGAAAGCCACGGCUAACUACGUG
rnacentral:rRNA from 1 species